GAGUUUGAUCAUGGCUCAGAGCGAACGCUGGCGGCAUGCUUAACACAUGCAAGUCUCACGGGCAGCAAUGUCAGUGGCGGACGGGUGAGUAACGCGUAGGUAUCUAUCUCUGGGUGGGGGAUAACCGUGGGAAACUACGGCUAAUACCGCAUGACACCUGAGAGUCAAAGGCGCAAGUCGCCUGGAGAGGAGCCUGCGUACGAUUAGCUUGUUGGUGGGGUAAAGGCCUACCAAGGCGACGAUCGUUAGCUGGUCUGAGAGGACGACCAGCCACACUGGGACUGAGACACGGCCCANACUCCUACGGGAGGCAGCAGUGGGGAAUUUUGGACAAUGGGCGAAAGCCUGAUCCAGCAAUGCCGCGUGUGUGAAGAAGGCCUUCGGGUUGUAAAGCACUUUUGUCCGGAAAGAAAACCUCGUGGUUAAUACCCGUGGGGGAUGACGGUACCGGAAGAAUAAGCACCGGCUAACUACGUGCCAGCAGCCGCGGUAAUACG
rnacentral:rRNA from 1 species